UCCCUGGUUGUCUAGUGGUAAGGAUUCUGCGCUCUCACCGCUGCGGCCUGGCUCGAUUCCCGGUCAGGGAA